rnacentral:rRNA from 1 species
AGUAACACGUGGGUAACCUGCCCCGAUGAUUGGGACAACCCGAGGAAACUCGGGCUAAUACCGAAUGUGCCCUACAGCUUCAAGGCUGGUGGGGAAAGGAAGCUUCGGCCUCCGCAUCGGGAUGGGCCCGCGGCCCAUUAGCUUGUUGGUGAGGUAACGGCUCACCAAGGCGACGAUGGGUAGCUGGUCUGAGAGGACGAUCAGCCACACUGGGACUGAGACACGGCCCAG